AGAGUUUGAUCAUGGCUCAGGAUGAACGCUAGCGGCAGGCCUAAUACAUGCAAGUCGAGCGGCAAGUCGAGGAGUAAUCUAAGACCUAGAGCGGCGCACGGGUGCGUAACGCGUAUGCAACCUACCUUAUACUGGGGGAUAGCCCGGAGAAAUCUGGAUUAAUACCCCAUGGCACAUAUUGAUGGCAUCUGAGAUAUGUUAAAGAUUUAUUGGUAUAAGAUGGGCAUGCGUCUGAUUAGCUAGUUGGCGGUGUAACGGACCACCAAGGCGACGAUCAGUAGGGGUUCUGAGAGGAAGGUCCCCCACACUGGCACUGAGAUACGGGCCAGACUCCUACGGGAGGCAGCAGUAGGGAAUAUUGGGCAAUGGUCGGAAGACUGACCCAGCCAUGCCGCGUGCAGGAAGACGGCCCUCUGGGUUGUAAACUGCUUUUAUCUGGGAAGAAAAAGGCCAUGCGUGGCAAAUUGCCGGUACCAGAUGAAUAAGCACCGGCUAACUCCGUGCCAGCAGCCGCGGUAAUACGGAGGGUGCAAGCGUUGUCCGGAUUUAUUGGGUUUAAAGGGUGCGUAGGCGGCUGAUUAAGUCAGCGGUGAAAGACUUCGGCUUAACCGGAGCAGUGCCGUUGAUACUGAUUGGCUUGAGUGUUGGAGGGGUACAUGGAAUUGAUGGUGUAGCGGUGAAAUGCAUAGAUACCAUCAGGAACACCGAUAGCGAAGGCAUUGUACUGGCCAACAACUGACGCUGAGGCACGAAAGUGUGGGGAUCGAACAGGAUUAGAUACCCUGGUAGUCCACACUGUAAACGAUGAUUACUCGCUGUUAUGGUGUAUAC
rnacentral:rRNA from 1 species